CAGUAGCCGCGGGAAUACGAAGGGUGCAAGCGUUACUCGGAAUUACUGGGCGUAAAGCGUGUGUAGGUGGUUGUUUAAGUCUGUCGUGAAAGCCCUGGGCUCAACCUGGGAAUUGCGAUGGAUACUGGGCGACUAGAGUGCGGUAGAGGAUAGUGGAAUUUCCGGUGUAGCAGUGAAGUGCGUAGAGAUCGGAAGGAACAUCUGUGGCGAAGGCGACUAUCUGGGCCAACACUGACACUGAGACACGAAAGCGUGGGGAGCAAACAGGAUUAGAUACCCCCGUAGUCCCUGUCUCUUAUAC
rnacentral:rRNA from 1 species